AGAGUUUGAUCCUGGCUCAGAACGUACGCUGGCGGCACGCCUAACACAUGCAAGUCGAACGCAGUAGCAAUACUGAGUGGCAAACGGGUGAGUAUAAUGUGGGAAUCUGCCUUUUGGUUCGGAAUAACACGGGGAAACUUGUGCUAAUACCGGAUAAGCCUUUACAGGGAAAGUUUUAAUGCCAAAAGAUGAGCCCGCACUUGAUUAGCUAGUUGGUAAGGUAAAAGCUUACCAAGGCAACGACCAAUAGCUGUUCUUAGAGGAAGACCAGCCACAUUGGGACUGAGACACGGCCCAGACUCCUACGGGAGGCAGCAGUGGGGAAUCUUGCACAAUGGGGGAAACCCUGAUGCAGCGAUGCCGCGUGAGUGAAGAAGGCCCUUGGGUUGUAAAACUCUUUCGUCGAGGAAGAAAAUGACUGUACCCGAAUAAGAAGGUCCGGCUAACUUCGUGCCAGCCGCCGCGGUAAUAC
rnacentral:rRNA from 1 species